GACGAACGCUUUCGGCGUGCUUAACACAUGCAAGUCGAACGGAAAGGCCCUGCUUUUGUGGGGUGCUCGAGUGGCGAACGGGUGAGUAACACGUGAGUAACCUGCCCUUGACUUUGGGAUAACUUCAGGAAACUGGGGCUAAUACCGGAUAGGAGCUCCUGCUGCAUGGUGGGGGUUGGAAAGUUUCGGCGGUUGGGGAUGGACUCGCGGCUUAUCAGCUUGUUGGUGGGGUAGUGGCUUACCAAGGCUUUGACGGGUAGCCGGCCUGAGAGGGUGACCGGCCACAUUGGGACUGAGAUACGGCCCAGACUCCUACGGGAGGCAGCAGUGGGGAAUAUUGCACAAUGGGCGGAAGCCUGAUGCAGCAACGCCGCGUGCGGGAUGACGGCCUUCGGGUUGUAAACCGCUUUCGCCUGUGACGAAGCGUGAGUGACGGUAAUGGGUAAAGAAGCACCGGCUAACUACGUGCCAGCAGCCGCGGUGAUACGUAGGGUGCGAGCGUUGUCCGGAUUUAUUGGGCGUAAAGGGCUCGUAGGUGGUUGAUCGCGUCGGAAGUGUAAUCUUGGGGCUUAACCCUGAGCGUGCUUUCGAUACGGGUUGACUUGAGGAAGGUAGGGGAGAAUGGAAUUCCUGGUGGAGCGGUGGAAUGCGCAGAUAUCAGGAGGAACACCAGUGGCGAAGGCGGGUCUCUGGGCCUUUCCUGACGCUGAGGAGCGAAAGCGUGGGGAGCGAACAGGCUUAGAUACCCUGGUAGUCCACGCUGUAAACGGUGGGUACUAGGUGUGGGGUCCAUUCCACGGGUUCCGUGCCGUAGCUAACGCUUUAAGUACCCCGCCUGGGGAGUACGGCCGCAAGGCUAAAACUCAAAGGAAUUGACGGGGCCCCGCACAAGCGGCGGAGCAUGCGGAUUAAUUCGAUGCAACGCGUAGAACCUUACCUGGGUUUGACAUGGAUCGGGAGUGCUCAGAGAUGGGUGUGCCUCUUUUGGGGUCGGUUCACAGGUGGUGCAUGCCUGUCGUCAGCUCGUGUCGUGAGAUGUUGGGUUAAGUCCCGCAACGAGCGCAACCCUUGUUCACUGUUGCCAGCACGUUAUGGUGGGGACUCAGUGGAGACCGCCGGGGUCAACUCGGAGGAAGGUGGGGAUGACGUCAAGUCAUCAUGCCCCUUAUGUCCAGGGCUUCACGCAUGCUACAAUGGCUGGUACAGAGAGUGGCGAGCCUGUGAGGGUGAGCGAAUAUCGGAAAGCCGGUCUCAGUUCGGAUUGGGGUCUGCAACUCGACCUCAUGAAGUCGGAGUCGCUAGUAAUCGCAGAUCAGCAACGCUGCGGUGAAUACGUUCCCGGG
rnacentral:rRNA from 1 species